GAUGAACGCUGGCGGCGUGCCUAAUACAUGCAAGUCGAGCGAACGUACGAGAAGCUUGCUUCUCUGAUGUUAGCGGCGGACGGGUGAGUAACACGUGGAUAACCUACCUAUAAGACUGGGAUAACUUCGGGAAACCGGAGCUAAUACCGGAUAAUAUUUUGAACCUCAUGGUUCAAAAGUGAAAGACGGUCUUGCUGUCACUUAUAGAUGGAUCCGCGCUGCAUUAGCUAGUUGGUAAGGUAACGGCUUACCAAGGCAACGAUGCAUAGCCGACCUGAGAGGGUGAUCGGCCACACUGGAACUGAGACACGGUCCAGACUCCGACGGGAGGCAGCAGUAGGGAAUCUUCCGCAAUGGGCGAAAGCCUGACGGAGCAACGCCGCGUGAGUGAUGAAGGUCUUCGGAUCGUAAAACUCUGUUAUUAGGGAAGAACAUAUGUGUAAGUAACUGUGCACAUCUUGACGGUACCUAAUCAGAAAGCCACGGCUAACUACGUG
rnacentral:rRNA from 1 species